AACGAACGCUGGCGGCAUGCCUAACACAUGCAAGUCGAACGAGAUCCUUCGGGGUCUAGUGGCGCACGGGUGCGUAACGCGUGGGAAUCUGCCCUUAGGUUCGGAAUAACAGUUAGAAAUGACUGCUAAUACCGGAUGAUGACGUUAAGUCCAAAGAUUUAUCGCCUGAGGAUGAGCCCGCGUAGGAUUAGCUAGUUGGUGUGGUAAAGGCGCACCAAGGCGACGAUCCUUAGCUGGUCUGAGAGGAUGAUCAGCCACACUGGGACUGAGACACGGCCCAGACUCCUACGGGAGGCAGCAGUGGGGAAUAUUGGACAAUGGGGGCAAGCCUGAUCCAGCAAUGCCGCGUGAGUGAUGAAGGCCUUAGGGUUGUAAAGCUCUUUUACCCGGGAUGAUAAUGACAGUACCGGGAGAAUAAGCCCCGGCUAACUACGUG
rnacentral:rRNA from 1 species